rnacentral:lncRNA from 1 species
ACAUAAGUGAGAGGAUUAGAUGCAGUCUCAGCUGAAGACUAUCAAAAGGAUUGAAACGUGGAGAGUUUCAGUCACACAGAAAGAAGUGUUAAGAAUUUCCCUUUGAUGCUCUGAAGGCUAAAGGUAAUGUCCAGUAUUUUGUUCAAUAGGUUUUCAUCUUACUGAAAAGUUUCGUGAUAUUAAU